AGCUGAACAGCUGUUAGGUUUUCGCGGCAUUUUAUUAAAAGUUGUGAAAUUUAUUAAAAACAAUGGUUAAAAGAAAAGGAAAAGCCUUGAAAUUUGGCAUGCAUCCGCGUAAUGUGUUGCGCCAGCCGCCUGACUACACCAAACUGGCUAUUAAGUACAAGGACUUUCGGCAAGUGUGCCAAUUGGAGCUUACUGGCAAAGUGUCUGUGGAUUUUCGCAAUGAAAAGACGCUGAGAGAACUCACCAAGACGCUGCUAAAGGAAUACUUCGAUUUAGAUGUUAACUUUGCCCCAGGAAGUCUGGUGCCUACAUUGGCUCUGCGUUUGAACUACAUUCUGUGGCUGGAAGAUCUGAUGGAACCACUGAAAUUGGAGGAAAUAAGAGGCAUUGAUAUUGGAUGCGGUUCCUCCUGCAUUUACUCUCUAUUGGGGGCCAAGAAAAACGGUUGGCAUAUGCUAGCCCUAGAAUCAAAGCUCCUAAAUAUCGAGUAUGCCCGAGAGAAUGUGAAAAGAAACCAACUGCAAGGCCUUAUUGAUGUCUUUGCUCAACCAGAUAAGAACUCUAUAUUCAAGAGCUAUUUCCUGGAGAAGCAGCAGGAGACUGACUUCCAUUUUUGCCUGUGCAAUCCACCCUUUUUCGACUCCAACUUGCCCAAUCCCUUUGGGGGCAAUACGAGAAAUCCAGAGCGACGUCCUGCACCAAACAAUGUCAGAACAGGUAGCCAGGAGGAGCUCACUUGCGUGGGCGGUGAAGUGCAGUUCGUGCAGCGCAUCAUAGACGAGAGCCUGGAAAACCAGCAGCGCGUACGCAUCUUCACCACAAUGCUGGGCGUCAAGGCCAAUGUGCCCAAGAUACUGGACUAUUUGAAAGAGCGGCAGGUGGCAAAUGUCAGCACCACGGAAUUCCAUCAGGGACAUACCACGCGAUGGGCAGUGGCCUGGAGCUACCAUUCAGAGCCUCUAAGCCAGGCGGCGACAACUUCUAAUUAAGUUACUUCUUCGAUUCAGGUAACUAUUGGCAUUUAACAAUUUACCAACCGCAACAGCUUAUUUGCAACACCAACAGCAAAAGCCGCAACAAAAAUCCAAGCCGUCUUUCGAGGCCACAAAGUGAGAGAAACC